AUGUCAUGGUGUGGGCAUUUCCUCAACAGCUCUUUGAACCUUUCCUACGCGUCAGGAAUAGCUUCAUCAUCCAGUUGUUUGAAAAGACAGAUUCCAUUCCUGCAUUU